UACGGAGGGAGCUAGCGUUGUUCGGAAUUACUGGGCGUAAAGCGCGCGUAGGCGGCUUUGUAAGUUAGAGGUGAAAGCCCGGAGCUCAACUCCGGAACUGCCUUUAAAACUGCAUCGCUUGAAUCCAGGAGAGGUGAGUGGAAUUCCGAGUGUAGAGGUGAAAUUCGUAGAUAUUCGGAAGAACACCAGUGGCGAAGGCGGCUCACUGGCUCGUUUCUGACGCUCAGGCGCGACAGCGUGGGGAUCAAACAGG
rnacentral:rRNA from 1 species